rnacentral:rRNA from 1 species
AUUGAACGCUGGCGGCAUGCUUUACACAUGCAAGUCGAACGGUAACAGCACUUCGGUGGCUGACGAGUGGCGAACGGGUGAGUAAUGUAUCGGAACGUGCCCAGUAGUGGGGGAUAACUACUCGAAAGAGUGGCUAAUACCGCAUGAGAUCUCUGGAUGAAAGCGGGGGCCGUAAGGCCUCGCGCUACUGGAGCGGCCGAUAUCAGAUUAGGUUGUUGGUGGGGUAAAGGGACCUACCAAGCCUGCGAUCUGUAGCUGGUCUGAGAGGACGACCAGCCACACUGGGACUGAGACACGGCCCAGACUCCUACGGGAGGCAGCAGU